CCUGCCUUUAGAAGCUUUGCAGACAUGGCUGCUGUGCCACACGGACGUCAGUGGGUGGCAGAGAGGAGAAAGGCUUUGUCUACGAUCGGUGUUCUGACCUAUGAAUAUCUGAAUGAUUAGUAACAAUAUUCC
ensembl:snoRNA LOC120094914 small nucleolar RNA SNORA17